GACGAACGCUGGCGGCGCGCCUAACACAUGCAAGUCGAGCGAGAACCAGGGCUUCGGCCCUGGGGACAGCGGCGAACGGGUGAGUAACACGUGGAUAACCUGCCCUCGGCACCGGGAUAGCCCGGGGAAACCCGGAUUAAUACCGGAUGGCCCUUCCGGCUCACGAGCCGGUCGGAAAAGGUAGCUUCGGCCUCCGGCCGAGGAUGGGUCCGCGGCGGAUUAGCUUGUUGGUGGGGUAACGGCCCACCAAGGCUCCGAUCCGUAGCUGGUCUGAGAGGCCGAUCAGCCACACGGGGACUGAGACACGGCCCAGACUCCUACGGGAGGCAGCAGUGGGGAAUCGUGCGCAAUGGGCGAAAGCCGGACGCAGCGAGGCGGCGGGAGGGAGGAAGGCCUUCGGGUUGUAAACCUCUUUCAGGAGGGACGAAGCCACUCGGGUGAAUAGCCCAGAGGGUGACGGUACCUCCAGAAGAAGCCCCGGCUAACUACGUGCCAGCAGCCGCCGUAAAAC
rnacentral:rRNA from 1 species